rnacentral:rRNA from 1 species
UUAAGUCCCCAUAACGAGCGCAACCCUUAUUGUUAGUUGCCAGCGGGUAAUGCCGGGAUCUCUAACGAAACUGCCGGUGUAAACCGGAGGAAGUGGGGAUGACGUCAAAUCAGCACGGCCCUUAUGUCCAGGGCUACACACGUGUUACAAUGGUAGAUACAAUGGGCAGCCACCUGGUGACAGGGAGCUAAUCCUAAAAGUCUAUCUCAGUUCGGAUCGAAGUCUGCAACCCGACUUCGUGAAGCUGGAUUCGCUAGUAAUCGCGGGUCAGCAGACCGCGGUGAAUACGUUCCCGGGUUUU